rnacentral:rRNA from 1 species
AGUGAACGCUGGCGGUAGGCCUAACACAUGCAAGUCGAACGGCAGCACAGUAAGAGCUUGCUCGGACGGGUGGCGAGUGGCGGAGGGGUGAGGAAUACAGCGGAAUCUACUUUUUCGGGGGGGAUAACGUAGGGAAACUUACGCUAAUACGGCAUACGACCUACGGGUGAAAGCAGGGGAGCUUCGGACCUUGCGCGGUUGAAGGAGCCGAUGUCGGAUUAGCUAGUUGGCGGGGUAAAGGCCCACCAAGGCGACGAUCCGUAGCUGGUCUGAGAGGAUGAUCAGGCACACUGGAACUGAGACACGGUCCAGACUCCUACGGGAGGCAGCAGUGGGGAAUCUUGGACAAUGGGGGAAAGCCUGAUCCAGCAAUACCGCGUGGGUGAAGAAGGCCUUCGGGUUGUAAAGCCCUUUUGUUGGGAAAGAAAAGAAGCAGGUUAAUACCCCGCUGUUCUGACGGUACCCAAAGAAUAAGCACCGGCUAACUUCGUG